GGAGAGCAAGGCGCAGGAAUGUGGGAGCUCCCGUUGGACCAGAGGCAGGAGACGUCUCACUGCACAGGUGACGUCUGAGCCCGGAACGGAGGAGCCACAUCUUGUUCUGGAGAAGAAUGUUCCCUGCUGAAAACUGCAUGGACCCAGGGGACAGCCACCUGGCUGAAGGCCAUGGGUGGGAUGUACGUCCUGAUCCAGACUGAGUGCCAGGUCCUGCUGCCUCCUGUGGUGCUGACAGGGACCUGGGUAAGGAGCCUCCACAGGCUUCUCCACUGCGAAGCUACGGCCUUAUCUUGGUCACUAAUAAGUGUCUCUCGAGGCAUGUUUUAUAACGAUGUGAAUGUUCUGUGAGACUCAGCCAUUCCCUAGUUUUAACACUUAUUAAUGGAUUUCGUCUGAAUCAGUUCUUAUUAAAAUAUUUGCCAAACCCUGA